UAUGAUAACUUUGUGAAAAAAUACCAUCACAAAAAAUACAACACAUAAGCAUCACAUAAACAACAACACAACAAACUACAAUAAAUAAAAUACCAUCACUAACAAAUACAACACAUAAACGACACGACUAUGUGAUUACAACGACAUAACUAUGCGAUUACAACCAUCAAAAUAAUUUUGAACAUAUUAUACAUCAUCUUGUGGACGUCUCCGCCAGUCUUAAUAUCCACCCAUACAAGAACUUCUCCAUUUUGGUUGAACGUGG
rnacentral:lncRNA from 1 species